CCUGAAAAGAACGGUUCUCGCCUUAAGUCAGGUUC
rnacentral:sRNA from 1 species